GAGAGUAAAACAGUACGUGAAAUUGUUGAAAGGGAAACGAUUGAAGUCAGUCAUGCCGGCGUUGGAUUCAGCUUGCUUCGCGGAGCUUGCGCAUUUCCUCGCAUGGCAGGUCAGCGUCAGUUUUGCGCGGCGUGAAAAGGCUCGGGUAAGGUAGCUCUCUUCGGGGAGUGUUAUAGACCUGGGCAAAUGCGCAGUGCGGGACUGAGGAUUGCAGCGGACACCUCUUCGGAGGCGCGGCGACCGAACCCUGCUCGGCCACCCUCGUUCGAUAGCGUGCUAGCGGACGCGGGAGCGGCAGUGCACCGGAACAGGCAAGCCAGCGGUUCGCUUAGGAUGCUGACGUAAUGGCUUUAAACGA
rnacentral:rRNA from 1 species